CAGCAGACCGGAAGUCGACAAUUAGUGUUGCUGGCGGAGUUCCAAGCUGACUGCGGACUCUCUUGCCUCCUCUCACCGGCCGCCCCCGACCGUCGGAUGCUUACACCGUGGAGGAGGGGGAAAAAAAUAAAAAAUCUCAGCCCGGCUGCCUUGCCUCGUCGAGAAACAUGGCUUCCCUCGGAGACACUGGCGGUCACCACACCCAUGGCCCCUCCCCUCCGACUUUCAGGUGGCUUCACUGGCUCUGCUGGUCCUCAGAGACUUGAGCUCCUGCUGGCUGGUGGACUGGGACGCUGAAGAGGACUCGACCUCGUCACUUCCGCAGCGCAGGCAGCGGGGCACGGCGCCCAGGAGGGCCCUCCUGAACAUGGAGCUGGAGAAGACGUAGACCACGGGGUCCAGGGCGGAGUUGAGGAAGUUGAGGCCCAGGGACACAAUGGUGAGC